rnacentral:rRNA from 1 species
GACGAACGCUGGCGGCGUGCCUAACACAUGCAAGUCAGGGAGAAAAGGGUAGCAAUACCCCUAGUAAACCGGCAAACGGGUGAGUAAUACGUAGGCAAUCUACCUCAAAGACUGGGAUAACCUCGCGAAAGUGGGGCUAAUACCGGAUAAUUCAAGAUGCUCGCAUGGGUGUCUUGUAAAAGUUAUGAUGAUUUAUCAUGAUAACGCUCUGAGAUGAGCCUACGGUCGAUUAGCUAGUUGGUGAGGUAAUGGCUCACCAAGGCGACAAUCGAUAGCCGGCCUGAGAGGGUGAUCGGCCACACUGGGACUGAGAUACGGCCCAGACUCCUACGGGAGGCAGCAGUGAGGAAUAUUGGUCAAUGGACGAAAGUCUGAACCAGCAACGCCGCGUGAGGGAUGAAGCAUCAAGGUGCGUAAACCUCUGUUAGAAGGGACGAAUAGUUCCGAUUGUAUCGGGAUUUGACGGUACCUUCAGAGAAAGCCCCGGCUAACU